UCUCGAUUGGUCUAGUGGUCAGGAUACCUGCUUGUCAUUACAUUAGAUGAUUACGAACUUCACGAUGGUGGAUAUUAUUAGUAGUAGUAAAGCGAUUCUAAAGAGCAAGCCGCAGGUGGCCGGGGUUCGAUUCCCCGAUCGAGAG